UACGGAGGGUGCAAGCGUUAUCCGGAUUCACUGGGUUUAAAGGGUGCGUAGGUGGGCAGGUAAGUCAGUGGUGAAAUCUCCGGGCUUAACCCGGAAACUGCCAUUGAUACUAUCUGUCUUGAAUACCGUGGAGGUGAGCGGAAUAUGUCAUGUAGCGGUGAAAUGCUUAGAUAUGACAUAGAACACCAAUUGCGAAGGCAGCUCACUACGCGAAUAUUGACACUGAGGCACGAGAGCGUGGGGAUCAAACAGG
rnacentral:rRNA from 1 species